AAGUAGUGUGACAUGCCCGUUCGUGUUUAACUCUGAUUAUUUAUUAUUAUUAUUAAGUUUGGGAUAACGAGGUGUUACAUUACC
rfam:Medicago truncatula strain A17 chromosome 8, whole genome shotgun sequence.